rnacentral:tRNA from 1 species
CCCUAAAAAGCCCCGCGGGCA